rnacentral:rRNA from 1 species
AGGACGAACGCUGGCGGCGUGCUUAACACAUGCAAGUCGAGCGGAAAGGCCCUUCGGGGUACUCGAGCGGCGAACGGGUGAGUAACACGUGAGUAAUCUGCCCCUAGCUCUGGGAUAGCUCCGGGAAACCGGGAUUAAUACCAGAUACGACCACUUUAGACAUCUGUUGUGGUGGAAAGAAUUUCGGCUAGGGAUGAGCUCGCGGCCUAUCAGCUUGUUGGUGAGGUAACGGCUCACCAAGGCGACGACGGGUAGCCGGCCUGAGAGGGCGACCGGCCACACUGGGACUGAGACACGGCCCAGACUCCUACGGGAGGCAGCAGUGGGGAAUAUUGCGCAAUGGGCGAAAGCCUGACGCAGCGACGCCGCGUGGGGGAUGAAGGCCUUCGGGUUGUAAACCUCUUUCAGCCCUGACGAAGCGAAAGUGACGGUAGGGCAGAAGAAGCACCGGCCAACUACGCGCCAGCAGCCGC